UGUGUGUGUGUGUGAGUGAGUGAGUGAGUGAGUGAGACAGUGAGUGAGACAGUGAGAAUGAGAGUGAGAGUGAGAGUAAGAGUGAGCAUAAGCAUGCAAGUGUGGUUGCAGGUGUGUAUGUUUAUGUGUGUCUUCAAGUAUGUGCUGUCUGUAUGAGUUUUAAGAAUUGUUACAAAUACAUUGAUGAUAACAGUAUUUGUUAUAAAGAAGGUAUUUCCUGUGAAAUAGCAAUAGAUAUUUACUUAAAUUAAACUUUUUAUUCCUGACUAUUGGACACAAAUUUACUGCAUAUUGUAGUAUUUAUCUGUAUACUGCUUUAUGGGUAGAAGCAGAAUAUGAAUUCACUUCUGAGAACUUUUAAAGGCAGAGUUUAUCAAUGCAUUUUAUACACAGUUUUAUAUAUAAUAUAGCUUGUCUUUUAUUAUUAUGGAUGUCAUUAUUGUUAUUGUUAUAUACAUUUUUAGUAUUAUUUUCUCUUCAUUUUAAAUUGACGCAACAACCACAUUUGAAUGUUUUACUGGUAUAAUGCAAAAUUAACUGUCAUUCAGUACUUUAUUUAGAUUUGAUAACAUAUGGGUUUAGGGAAGAUCACAGUGUAUGUUAUGCUGAAAUGACGACAAUCAGUCUGAUUUAAUUGUUUCUAUUUACAAAGUUAAGGAAAAGUGUGAGGACAAUGCUUCUGUGUUAUGAGUUGUUUUUAGCGAUGAAUAAUUUUUAAGGUAUUUUGUAUUGUACAGAAAUACAAUAUUUCUUCAUGACUGAAGAUCUAUAUCAUAUACUUUAUAUUUUUAUAUAUGACUGUGCUGUGAAGUUAAUUGUAUUUGUAAAUUUUUACAUUUUCUGAAGAAUCUUUAUAGGUUCUGAUUUUAUCAAAAGAUUAAAACAGAUUAAAAUUUCUUGUUUUAAUAAAUUUUCAUUGUGGAUACUUGAAUAUAGAAGUUGAUUCUUAGUGAAAUGUGAGUACAAGUUCGUAUAUGUGUAUAAAUACAGUAUUUAUGCACAUAUGAUUGAAAAAUCACUUUUAUAACCACAUGUACAUAUACAAGGAUACACGUGCACUCAGAUGCACAUAGACAUAAA